CCAGCACCGAGAGGCCUAUAAGGACUAGAGCGGAGAGGCCACGCCUCCUCAGCGCCUCAGCCCAAUCCAGAUCCGGGAGUGUGGCCCCCCUCGGCCAAUGGGCUCCGGGCGCACGUUCGCAACGUUCUCUCCUGCCCGGUGACAGAGGUCUGGCCCCGCCCCCGCUGAGCCCCAGAACGCUCCCAGCCGAACCCCGCGCCGCGGCCACGCCCCCUUUCUGGAAGGGAUCCGCGGCGGCUGCAGCUGCCAAGGUCCCCGAGGGCGCUCGCGGCAGGGGAGGAUCAAGGAACGACUUGUUUAUUAUAGGGUCCUGUUGCUGGGGGAGGGGGUAGCCGUGACCGCGCGGGGGGAAAGGCAGGGGAACUUGAGGGGGCGGCGGGCCGGGAAAACGGUUGCCCCCAGCGUCUGGGAACCUGAGACUACAGGCACAAGUCUGUGUGGGGCCCUUUCGUACAACAGCCCCCUAGGCGAUUCUGACGCUCCGCUCCAUUUUAGUUGGAAUGUCUGCUGACCUCUCAGAAAGAUGAGAAGACCAAAGGGAAGUAUCCAAAGCAACCCUGAAUGGGAACCAGAUCCCACAGUCCGCUGGCUUACACUGGCCCUCUCUCC